rnacentral:rRNA from 1 species
AUAGGGGAGCCGGAGGGAAACCGAGUCUUAAUUGGGCGUUAAGUUGCAGGGUAUAGACCCGAAACCCGGUGAUCUAGCCAUGGGCAGGUUGAAGGUUGGGUAACACUAACUGGAGGACCGAACCGACUAAUGUUGAAAAAUUAGCGGAUGACCUGUGGCUGGGGGUGAAAGGCCAAUCAAACCGGGAGAUAGCUGGUUCUCCCCGAAAGCUAUUUAGGUAGCGCCUCGUGAAUUCAUCUCCGGGGGUAGAGCACUGUUUCGGCUAGGGGGCCAUCCCGGCUUACCAACCCGAUGCAAACUGCGAAUACCGGAGAAUGUUAUCACGGGAGACACACGGCGGGUGCUAACGUCCGUCGUGAAGAGGGAAACAACCCAGACCGCCAGCUAAGGUCCCAAAGUCAUGGUUAAGUGGGAAACGAUGUGGGAAGGCCCAGACAGCCAGGAUGUUGGCUUAGAAGCAGCCAUCAUUUAAAGAAAGCGUAAUAGCUCACUGGUCGAGUCGGCCUGCGCGGAAGAUGUAACGGGGCUAAAC